AGGGAGGGAUUGCUGGAGUGGAAACAUGGCAAGAACCGGAAAGAGCUCAAGAUUUUGCUACUACCUUGCUAAUAAAUUUGUGAGGUAAUUCAGCUAGCUACAUGUGUAUUUGUUUCUGCUAUACCAAGGUCAUUAUUCUGAUUUAGAAAAUAGAAACAUGAAUUCUGAUUUAAGAGUCUAAUAGCAAAUGUUGGUAGCAUUAAUAGAAUGUGCAUUGUACGCACAAGCUAAUAGUAGAGUUUAAUUCUUCUCAAGUAGCGGUUGUUGAUGUAGACUUGAACUAAUUAAUAAGGUAGGUAUCAAGUAGUGAUAUCGUCCACAAUCGAUGGACGACUAAUAUUCUUGAGCAGGCUCACAGAGCGAGAGACGAACCUGGGCUGACCGGGACCCUUCUAAAACUGUUGUAUAUCUAUGAUUCUGAUCUGUAUAAAAGAACUACAUAGGAUCAUUUUUGUUCUUAUUUUUAAGACAUGCAUGAUCAUCCUAGGCAUUUUGCUGACAAGUAAAAACCUGAAACUAAUUUCUAUUUAACAUAAACUCUAAUAUCUAUACUAUACAGGCAUUUUAGACAUGUAUAUUGGCUCACCAACAAUUUGUCUUCUGUUGAAAUGAAUGGUAACACUUGAUUUUAAAUUUCCUAAAUCUUUAUUAUUCUUCUGUUGCAAUAUAAUAUAACGAGGCAUGGUCAGCAGGAAACCUAAUUCUCCGUGAACAUGCGCAAAAGAGUCAACUUUUAGUUCUUUUAGAAUUUUUGUUCUUUCCUUAGAGUUCAUGAGAAUUAUUUGUAGACGGUGUUGUGAUGCUCCAGUACUUGUGUGAUGAUAUUCUUCUGACUCUUGCAAUGUCCUAUGCUGACAAAUACAAAUGCUCUGCUCUAUUUGAUGCUAUAAUUGUUCAUUUUGAAUCCAUUGCCUCUUUGUAAUGGUAAACCAGAGUCCCUUGACAGUUCGUUGGUCAUCUUCUUCUCAUGACAGAACUGGCAAGAUGUCAUGAUGGAACAAUAUCUUUUCUGCAUGUAGUAAAUUAUUUUCUUAUUAGUUUAGAUCCGUUAACUGCACUAUAUUUUUAGGAGGUGUCACACUAAGAAUUUCAUAGUUGGAUUUUGAUGUUCCAGGUUGCUUUAUGGAAGUAUUUAUAGGCUUGCCAUGACAAGGUAUUUUAUUAGUUUGUUAUCUCCCUUUCCAUAGACUUUUUACAUUCUACUCUGGUUAUUAAGUACGUAUACAUAUAAAGUGUGCUCUAUUGCUUAACUAAAUUCUGGACUUCAGGUAUACUACCUGACAAUGCACCCCGUGUUGAUAAAAAUAACAUUGGGAUGCACCACAUACAGAUUCACAAAGUUUAGGUCUGUUUCCUUGGAGAUUCACAAACAAGUGAUGUAGAAUUGGAAAAUAGUGAUGUAGAAUUGAUCCGAAUUUUAAACAGACCUGCACCUGGGUUUUUAACUGCCUUUUCUGUAUCUUAUUCUUUUACAGGAAUGCAUCAAUAAUCUUGGUAUAAAAUUUAUUUGGAUGGUUCAGAACCUUCAGAUGGCAUGGCUGAGAUAUAGUUUGUUGUAUUCAGUUUUUUUUUCAUCGUCACAGGUUUGCAAAUUUUGGUUCUACUGCCAGUGCAUACUUUAUGUUUCCAUUUCCAUCAAUUCAUCUUGUAGAAUCUCUGUGACCCUCGACGUUGGUUUGGAAGUUCGGUUCAGUCAUAGCCUAAUUUUUGGGUCUUCGCAAAAAAAGGCCUAAUUUUGGGAUUUAGUAAUUGUGGCCUGUUGUUAGUAUGCGAGUGUACAUACAAACGAUUGGCACUAUAUUUAUUUUGAUUUAUUUGUUGUGAUUAAGAGCAGAAGCUCUACUCAUCUAGGACGAGAUCUAUGACAAGGAAAGUUAAUGUAAAAAAUCAAAAUUGUGUGUGUUUGUGUGGUUAAUACACACUUCAUUUUGAUAUAUUUGUCUUCUAAUAACCCACCGUGCACAGGACAGACCAUGCAAGCAUCAACUUAUUGAGAAAUGACUUAUUAACCUAUUAAAAGACCAUACCGGAACCACCUAUGGCAUAACCUUUUCAAAACAUUUAAGUAGGGGUGGGCAAUAGAAGCGUUGUAGUAACUGCUCGGUUGUUGAACGGACAAACAUUUUGACGACUACUCUUGCUUUCAUGGAUAUACAGAGAUAAAUGGAUGGAUGUUGCAAAUAUAGUAGAAAUCAUGGGUGCAACAAUUUUUAUGUCCAUGUUUUUCUUUUUGUCUGAUUGUGUAUGUAUACUGGUUACAGGGCACUAUUUGCGUAGAAUUUACUUGACCUGUAGGAACUGGCUCUACUAUCUAGCUUUUAAAUGUAAUAAAUCUAGAAGGCAAUGGAGCAUUACUGUCUUUCCCUCUUUCUACAUAAGCAAGAAAGCUGUGACUUGGAUUCUGGACAUGAAUCUUCUUAACCUGUUGAAGCAGAAAACUAUAGAUGCAGAGUCCAAUUAGUUGUCCUUUGUGCAUACACAAGAAAGUGGAAUUUGGAGUCUGAACAUGAAUCCUUGAGACUGAUGGCCAGAAACAUAACACAACAUGAUGACCUUGAGUGAGACCCUUCUUCACAUGUGACUGCUCUCUUUUGGAAUACCAGCCAUGCGUGACAUGUUUAGUAGAACAGAUUGUGUCGUACGUCUGGUAGUUGUUGUUGCCUAUACAGAGUGUGAUGAUCUGAGGGUGUGAACUAUUUUUUGUGCAAAAUACUUGUUAUAUAAACUAUAUGGAUGGAGUUACGGGACAUUAAGAAAAGAUAUGAGAAAGAAUAUAGAGUGUGAAAUUUGCUAUAUAAAUUACUUGUUAUAUAAAAGUUGAAUCUCACGAUCCAACUUUUUAGAACUAUGCCACAACUUUUAUGAGGCCAUAAGUUUUUCCUUUGAAAUCUGCAGGUUAUAUGAUUUGUACAUGGCGGUGUUACUGAACAGAAGGAGGUAAUUUCUUCGCUCUUUCUAUUGAUUAAUAUUGUUCUUCACUCUUUCUAAACUAUUGAAUUUAUUAAUAUUAUUCUUGCACAAAUUAAUUAAUGAUUAUAUCAUCUUUUGGUCACUCGAGUAAGAUAGAACAUGAUGAUCCUCUCUUAAUUUGGUUUCUCCUCCGCUGAAGAAUAUAGGAAUCACCAGCAGCC
rnacentral:lncRNA from 1 species